GAAAACACAGUGGGUAACUACAGUAUUUACAAAGAGAAACCCCUCAUGGGAUUGGGAAAAUAAAAAUAAAGGAUUCCUCUACUUGAAGGAAUGCUUUGGUUGGUUUUUUUCAUCUCUUCAUACUGCACAUAACAGUUGGAAAACCUUCCAUCAAAGUUAAAAAAAAUGUUUUGUUUGGCACUGCAAGUGUCAAAAUGUGAAGAAAACCCUUCAGGGCCCAAAUCCUUCCCUAGUUAAGCUAUUUAUUUAUCACUGCAAAGUGUGCAAAACCACACAAACAAAAGGUUUUUUGUGGAGUCUGCUGAGGAUUAUAUCUUUUGAAGGUCUUUCACUGAGAGGUCAACUUAAUGCAAACAUUGCGGGAAUGAAUGGAAACUUGUUUCCUUCAGUGUUUUUUCCCUGUCUUGUUUUCAAAAAGAAACUUGCUUCAUAGAUUUAAAAUGUACUUUUGUACCUAGACAUUCAGCCAGAUGUGCCAAUACAAGUGUCUCCAAAUUUGCAAAUGAUGCAACCAUCGAAUCCCACAGAUGUCUCAACUUGACACUGGCUGUGCACAUAAUGCCUGAGUCAUGAGAUUUGGUCAAGUCCAGCCCCUGCCCUCGAGGUUGAUAUGCCACAGGUGGGUGCCCUCAGGAGGAGCUGUCUGUGCCCUAAUUCUUCCAAUCACAGAGCCAGAAUGGGUAAUGAGUAACAGUGCAUAGACAGCAGACAGCUUCAUGUUGUAUGUCAGGACUCUGCGGUUUGGCUCUGGGCAGUGCUGGACUGAGGCCAAAGGGUGGUUCACAUCGCCAUGGUAACUUACACUGCAGACCUAACCUGCUCAAGGGCAGAUUGUGUUCGAGGCAGUGGAAGACUUGGAAAGCUUGGCCGCUGGCUGUAGGAUGGCUCAAUUCUCUCUCCCACAUCUUGCAGAAUAGUGUCUUCUCUCUGCAGGCAUGAAGAACUUCACUACAGUGAAGAACUGCAUUGUCUGACCACUUGAAUUAGCACGGAAUCCCCGUUCAAAAUUCUCACUUGCUAGCUAAACUUGAGCUGAGCUAUGAUGCUCAGCAGACCAAUGUGAGAAACUUCAUUUAUAUUAAGCGUUUGCUAUAAAAAGGUGUUGCAAAAUGUGUUAAAAAAAAGCACAUUAAGGAAAAGGCAUGUUAAACACUACAAACAGUGUAAUUAAAGUUGCAUGUACAAUGUGAUACAAUUUUAGACCUGCAGUUUUUAAAGUUUUGAUGAGUGUUACUUUAGCGUGUAGCCAGCAUGUGAUUGAGGUUCACACAUAUUAAACACUUUUAAAUUUUGUUUAUAAUAUGAUGCAUGCUGUUUUAAGCACAGACUGUGUUUGAAAGAAGGAUGCAGAUUGUUGUUUUUCUGGAAGCAGUGUUAGCAUUUUUGCAGCCACCAUGUUGGUUUAUUGCAUCUUGGAAUGACCAUAUGUGGACAAGAAGGUGGGAUACUAAGCAAUAUGCUGAUGCUAGCUAAAUGCUAAUUAGUUGUAAGUAAAAUAAAAUCCUA